CGUUCGAGAUGAACUGCGCCUCGCCUGGAAAGUAGACGAGAGCAGGCGGCCGCAGGAGGGGGCGGUGACAAAAGGCUGCGAUCAAGUCGGACAGUUUCCAGCAGCCUCGAGAGUAUAUACAGGAAGUUACAGAAAUACGUACAUCCUGUUGAACAGAUCUGUAGGCUACUUGUAGUCUUCAGGCAACGAUCGGAUACUUUUCAGUAUGGCUGAAGAUAUCGCUUACGCGUUCAUCAUAGCGGAUGAAAUUGAGGCAGAAGAGGUACUUUUCCACGAAGAUCAACUUGGACGGAGAAGAUUUGUUCCCAAAGUGCCACAUUUUGUGGAGGAGGUUGUACACUUGUACAGUGUGGCGGACUUCAAAAGUCAUUUCAGACUUUCAAGGGGACAAGUGGAGUCUCCUCCAUCUUGCCAGUUCUGGCCUCACCAGUGACUCCAGAGCAGCCGUCCUCCGCUCAGCAUGGGACUUGUAAGUGUCCUGAAACGAGGUUUUAGCUUUGACUCUUUUUUUUGGCAGAUGGAUGGGUUGUCUGCGUGGCAGUUGAUGGGCCAGGCUGUUGAUCGUCUGUGUCACGUUCAAGAGUUGACCGACUGGUGUUGAAGUGAUGGUGCCUGGUGGCGCACUCCCUACCCCGGAGCCACUAAAUAUUUCAUCUAUUUGCUGUACAAAAGGAGAAAAUUUCAGUUACAGUAGGAAGCACAAGUGUCCCCUCCCCACUCAUUUGCUGUGAUCACUCCUGUCAGUAUUGAAACUAUGGUGCACUGAUAAAAAUUGUGGGUGGCAAAAAUGAAACAGGACAUUAAGGGAAACUUGAUACCCUUCAGAAAGUCCCACUAACAGUUAACAUAUGUACAUAGCACCACUUACCAUGUAAUAUUCCCAGGUGAGUUUGCCCUCUCCUGUUGUCCGAGACCUGUCUUUGGCCCUUUUGUAAGUCGUCAGCAUGUUACCGAGUUUUCUCCUGAUUUUGUCAUUUGUGAAGGAAUAGCCUGUUGCAUUAAAGGCUUCUUCCAGCUUCUUGUAAAAGGAUAUUUUGUUCCGGUUGUACAGGUGUUAAUAGGUCCUGGUCAGCUCAAGCAGUAAUAGUGUUGUGUUGUGUUGGAAUUCUGUAAAAACAUUUCAGGAUAGUUAAAGAGAAGACAUUUUAUUCCAACAUUUAGAUUACAAACCAAAAGUCAUCAUACCUGUCUGGGUUUCAUGGCAUUCCGGCUGUGAGGAUGGAACUGGGAACAGGUUGUCUGAAGGGGAUGUGUGUGAUAAAAUGUUUGUUUCAGGAGUGGGGCACCGGGUGACUGUAGCUGCUGGUUGGGUUUGACUGUGACUGGGGGUGGAGGAAACUCUGGGCUGGGGAGUGUGACUCUGGGUGAAUGUUGGAGGCUGAGGAGUGGGGAGGACAGGCGGUUGGAUGACAGAGCUGAUAGAUUGUGGGUUUACUGCAGAGAAAGAAAUCCAGAAAAUUGCAAAAGAAUUAUUCACAUGCAUUUAAAUAUUCAUGUGUAUCACAAUCAAGAGAAUGUACCUUGAAGGUCUUCUGCAGCUCUUAUUUGCUCCAGUAUGUUGGAGGCGUACUGGUUAUCUGCCAUCUACAUUUAUAAUGGUAUGAUG